CCGGGAUGUUCAUAACCCUUUGUUGUCCGACUCUGUUGCCUCCGGGGCGACCCUGCCUUCGGGCGGGGGCUCCGGGUGGACACUUCAAACUCUUGCGUAACUUUGCAGUCUGAGUAAACUUAAUUAAUAAAUUAAAACUUUUAACAACGGAUCUCUUGGUUCUGGCAUCGAUGAAGAACGCAGCGAAAUGCGAUAAGUAAUGUGAAUUGCAGAAUUCAGUGAAUCAUCGAAUCUUUGAACGCACAUUGCGCCCCCUGGUAUUCCGGGGGGCAUGCCUGUUCGAGCGUCAUUUCACCACUCAAGCCUCGCUUGGUAUUGGGCAACGCGGUCCGCCGCGUGCCUCAAAUCGACCGGCUGGGUCUUCUGUCCCCUAAGCGUUGUGGAAACUAUUCGCUAAAGGGUGCUCGGGAGGCUACGCCGUAAAACAACCCCAUUUCUAAGGUUGACCUCGGAUCAGGUAGGGAUA
rnacentral:misc_RNA from 1 species